rnacentral:rRNA from 1 species
AUGAACGCUGGCGGCGUGCCUAAUUCAUGCAAGUCGAGCGAACAGAUGAGGAGCUUGCUCCUCUGACGUUAGCGGCGGACGGGUGAGUAACACGUGGAUAACCUACCUAUAAGACUGGGAUAACUUCGGGAAACCGGAGCUAAUACCGGAUAAUAUAUUGAACCGCAUGGUUCAAUAGUGAAAGACGGUUUUGCUGUCACUUAUAGAUGGAUCCGCGCCGCAUUAGCUAGUUGGUAAGGUAACGGCUUACCAAGGCAACGAUGCGUAGCCGACCUGAGAGGGUGAUCGGCCACACUGGAACUGAGACACGGUCCAGACUCCUACGGGAGGCAGCAGUAGGGAAUCUUCCGCAAUGGGCGAAAGCUUGACGGAGCAACGCCGCGUGAGUGAUGAAGGUCUUCGGAUCGUAAAACUCUGUUAUUAGGGAAGAACAAAUGUGUAAGUAACUAUGCACGUCUUGACGGUACCUAAUCAGAAAGCCACGGCUAACUACGUG